UCUACGGAGAGUUUGAUUCUGGCUCAGAACGAACGCUGGCGGCGUGGAUAAGACAUGCAAGUCGAACGAGUUUAGUUUUGUAGCAAUACAAGGCUGAGCUAGUGGCGAACGGGUGCGUAACACGUGAGCAAUCUGCCUUAAAGUGGGGGAUAGCUCGCCGAAAGGCGAAUUAAUACCGCAUGUGGUUGCAAAACCAAAGCCGGGGCAACCUGGCGCUUUUAGAGGAGCUCGCGGCCUAUCAGCUUGUUGGUGAGGUAACGGCUCACCAAGGCUUCGACGGGUAGCUGGUCUGAGAGGACGACCAGCCACACUGGAACUGAGACACGGUCCAGACACCUACGGGUGGCAGCAGUCGAGAAUUUUUCU
rnacentral:rRNA from 1 species